ensembl:lncRNA
UCCAUUGGGUUCCAUUGGGGUGCAUUGGGGUCCAUUGGGGCCCAUUGGGGUCCAUUGGGGUCCAUUGGGGUCCAUUGUGGGGCAUUGGGCUCCACGGAGGUCCAUUGGAGUCCAUUGGGUUCCAUUGGGGUCCAUUGGAGUCCAUUGGAGUCCAUUGGAGUCCAUUGGGUUCCAUUGGGGUCCAUUGGAGUCCAUUGGAGUCCAUUGGGGUCCAUUGUGGUGCAUUGGGGUCCAUUGGGGCCCAUUGGGAUCCAUUGGGGUCCAUUGGGGUCCAUUGGGUGCAUUGGGCUCCAUUGGGGUCCAUUGGAGUCCAUUGGGAUCUGUUGGGUUCCAUUGUGGUGCACCGUGGCUCAUUGUGGCUGUGUGUCUGUGUGUGUCCGUCUGUCUGUGUGUCUGUAUGUCCGUCUGUGUGUCCCUAUGUCCCUGUGUCCGUGUGUCCCUAUGUCCCUAUGUCCGUGUGUCCCUUUGUCCGUGUGUCCCUUUGUCCGUGUGUCCCUAUGUCCGUGUGUCCGUGUGUCCCUAUGUCCGUGUGUCCGUGUGUCCGUGUGUCUGUGU